ensembl:snoRNA
GAGCACUGUUUAUGGCCUGUUAGUCUGGCUGUGGCUAAUGGACCCCAUUCCAGUUCUCCAGCAUCUCCAGUGACAUGUGACUGACUGACUCAUGAGUCUCUCCUGGGGGGGGGGUCACAGAGCCAGGGGGAAAGAA